AAAAUUGCGUUGCAAAUAUAAUAAAGCACUCUUCGUGUUUUCCUCUGAGAUUUUAGUAUAUUAGUGUUGCGAAAAGAAUAGAGAUUUUCCACUCACGGUUUGUUCGGGUUUACAUUGAGUGGAUAGUUAUUGUGGUAACCCUUCUGGUUACCUCUUCUUCGUUUUUUUCUUUUCAGCAUCCCCUUAUUGAGACCAUUUGUUAUUGAAAAUACUGUUAAAAAUUGUUAAACAUCUU